CUACGGGUCGCUCCAGUGAGGAAUAUUGCACAAUGGGGGGAACCCUGAUGCAGCAACGCCGCGUGGAGGAUGACGCAUUUCGGUGUGUAAACUCCUUUUAUAUGUCAAGAAAAUGACGGUAGCAUAUGAAUAAGCACCGGCUAACUCCGUGCCAGCAGCCGCGGUAAUACGGAGGGUGCAAGCGUUACUCGGAAUCACUGGGCGUAAAGGACGCGUAGGCGGGUUGGAAAGUCAGGUGUGAAAUCCUACAGCUUAACUGUAGAACUGCACUUGAAACUUCUAAUCUAGAGUAUGGGAGGGGGAGAUGGAAUUAGUGGUGUAGGGGUAAAAUCCGUAGAUAUCACUAGGAAUACCUAAAGCGAAGGCGAUCUCCUGGAACAUUACUGACGCUAAGGCGUGAAAGCGUGGGGGGCAAACGGGAUUAGAUACCCCCGUAGUC
rnacentral:rRNA from 1 species